AAGUCGUAACAAGGUUUCCGUAGGUGAACCUGCGGAAGGAUCAUUAAUGAAAUGAUUUUUUUUUUGGGGUUUUCCCUGAAAAAUAAUUCACCACUUGUGCAUUGUUAUUAGAUAUACUUUGGUUAGAGCUUUGAUUUCAUUUAUUGGAAUCAACUUCUUGCUGACUCUAUCCUUUCUGAGGACAGUUGGCUAUGAAGCGGCCAACCAAGGUUUUUUAUCAAACACAUUUAAUUUAUCUGACCUAAACUAUUAUAAUAAAAUCAUAACUUUCAACAACGGAUCUCUUGGCUCUC
rnacentral:misc_RNA from 1 species